AAUAGCACACCUUUCCUCGUACGUUGAUAAAAUAGCACAUCUUUCUUUUUGUUAGAUUAAAUGACACACUUUUCCUUCGGGGCUAGACAAAAUGGCACAAACAGACAUUUUUCUCAAUUUUCAGGUCAGGACCUACACGUCAUAUUAUUUUGGACGAUUUUGCCCUUUGAUCUGUUCUACGCAGUAAACUGGUUCAGUCGAACCUCUGUUUCGAAACAGAGCGAAAAGAAACGCAGCGAGGAAGAUGGAUCGCCGCCUCGCCGGCCCUGCCAAUUACGUGCUCCCCUUAUCUCCCGGCGCUUCGUCCCGUUUCUUCCCGUCUCCUGUCGCUCCACCCGUUCCGCCGCCGCCGCCGCAUCUGGCCGUACAGCUCUACUUCCCUGCUAAAGCAAACAACUAUACCAGUCAGCAGCCACCUACAGGCUUCUACAGGAGCAAGCACCUACAGCCAGCAAACGAACGUACGCUACGGCGAGCGACCGGCCUGCACUGCCACGUGCUGCAGGGGGACUUCAAGUGGCGGCGCCCUUCUUCUCCCGCAUUGCGAUGAAGCAGCCGCAGCCCGCAGCGCGUACGGCGGCCGCGGCGCGCGGUAAGGUGGCGGACAGGGCGGCUCGGGGACGAAUCACGGCGAGAUCGUGGAUGGUUCCGUCGUUCCUCUGUUCCGGUGUUCUCUCAUCCUCUGGAUCGUCUCGUCUCCUCUCUCGAUCGAACCAGUCCAAAGUGUAAAAUCGUCCAAAAUAAUAUAACGUGUAGGUCCUGACGUGGAAAUUGUGAAAAAAAGUCAGUUUGUGCCAUUUUA